rnacentral:lncRNA from 1 species
UGAUUCGGCCGCUUCAAUGUCUGUGCUGGGAUCUAUGAAACCCUGAAGAGCAGCUGACACGAUAAAACAGAUGGCCCCGUGACCGGAAAUCUCAGAAGGGCUGACGUGGCCAGAGAAAAGGCUGCUUUGGGCUACAGUUGGAAGGGAGCAGAGAAAGACCUAUGAGAAGCUGCGACAAGUGUGGGAAUACAGUUCCUGAAUCUACUGAAAUGCUUGUGGGACACAUUCCAUGUUCAUGUUCUCCACAGUGCAGGUAUGUCACAAGUAUACUAGACAUCUUAUUUGGGAGCUCAAGAGUUUAUUGUUUUUGUUUGUUUGUUCU